rnacentral:tRNA from 1 species
AUUUAUAUAGUUUAAAUAAAACAUUACAUUUUCACUGUAAAAAUAAAAUAUUUAUUUUUAUAAAUA